GCACUCGUGGGGGUGGGGGAGGAGCGGGGGUCGGUCCGGCUGGUUUGUGGGUGGGAGGCGCUUGUUCUCCAAAAACCGGCGCGAGCUGCAAUCCUGAGGGAGCUGCGGUGGAGGAGGUGGAGAGAAGGCCGCACCCUUCUGGGCAGGGGGAGGGGAGUGCCGCAAUACCUUUAUGGGAGUUCUCUGCUGCCUCCCGUCUUGUAAGGACCGCCCUGGGCCUGGAAGAAGCCCUCCCUCCUUUCCUCCUCGCGUGAUCUCGUCAUCGCCUCCAUGUCGAGUCGCUUCUCGAUUAUGGGCGGGAUUCUUUUGCCUAGGCUUAAGGGGCUAACUUGGUCCCUGGGCGUUGCCCUGCAGGGGAGUGAGCAGCUGUAAGAUUUGAGGGGCGACUCCGAUUAGUUUAUCUUCCCACGGACUAGAGUUGGUGUCGAGGUUAUUGUAAUAAGGGUGGGGUAGGGAAAUGGAGCUUAGUCAUUCACCUGGGGCUGAUUUUAUGCAACGAGACUGCGGAUUAUCACUACUUAUCAUUUUUGGAGCAUUUUUCUAGAGACAGACAUAAAGCAUGAUCACCUGAGUUUUAUACCAUUUGAGACCCUUGCUGCACCACCAAAGUGUAGCAUCAGGUUAAAUCUUAAUAGAAAAAUUUUAGCUUUUGCUUGAGAAACCAGUGCUUCCCUCCCUCACCCUCUCUCCCCAGGCUCUCUACCCCUUUGCAUCCCUACCAGGCAUCUUAGCAACUCUCACUCAUACUUGAUCCCAUUUUCCAUUUGUUGUACUUGCUCCUCUAGUAUUCAGACAUAGCACUAGCUUUCUCCCUCUCUUGAUCUUGGGUAGCCUGGUGUCUCGCGAAACCAGACAGAUUGGUUCCACCACAAAUUAAGGCUUGAGCUGGGGCUUGACUCUUACCCAGCAGUGCUUUUAUUCCUCCCUAGUUCACGUUCUUAAAUGUUUAUCUUGAUUUUCAUUUUAUCCUUUUUCCUUAGCUGGGAUUCUGUCCCUGACCGUCUUCACAGUCCAGGUGAUCUUGACUACUGCUUUACAGAGAAUUGGAUCUGAGGUGUGGAAACAGGAAGAGAACUAGAACUGGAAGUAAAGCAUUGAAGAUGUGACUGAAUUGCUGCAAUCUCAUGAUCAAAUUUGAAUGGAUGAGGAGUUGCUUUUUAGGGAUGAGCAAAGAAAGUGGUUUCUCGAGAUGGAAUCUACUGGUGAAGUUGCUGUGAACAUUGUUAAAAUGCCAAUAAAGGAUUUAGGAAUUACAGAAACCUGGUUGAUAAAGCAGUGCCAGGGUGUGAGAGAGUUGACUUCAAUUUUGAAAUAAGUUCCACUGGCUGGGUGUGGUGGCUCACACCUGCAAUCCCAGUACUUUAGGAGGCCGAGACUGGUAGAUCAUUUGAGGUCAGGAGUUCAAGACCAGCCUUGCCAACAUGGUGAAACCCCACCUCUACCAAAUUAGCCAGGUUGCUCCUUGAGGGCAGGACAGUUCUUAUGGCUUUAUCCGUUGCGUAAGCACAGAGAGGUCUGCGAGGUCAAAACUAUUGUCAUGAUAGCAAGAUGCCUGUCUUUUUCAUUUAUUCUCACGGUGUGCAGAGGCUACAUGAUGUGUGAUGACAUCCUCAUUGAUGUUAAUGAAUGGUGCUAUACUUGAAUUUUCUAAGGUGUCAUUAGCAAUUCUCCUGCCUCAGCCUCCUGCAUAACUGGGACUACAGGGAAGCACCAUUUUCCACAAAACUCUCAAGAAGGACUUGUUGCAACUGGAAAAGCAAUUAAAUGUGAAUCGUGAUCCAGGAGAAAGUAACAACUCACAUAACUCCCAAAUUAAAAGUUUUCCAAAGAUAUAUCAUUUUUUUUCUCUUGGCCUUUUAAGAAACUAGCCAACAAAUACUCUUGACAGGUUUGUGUUUGGUUUUGAAAACACACACCUUAGUGUACUGAAAGAAAAACAAUUUCUUUUAAUUUGGUUUGUUGGUCCCACACCCCAUCUAUCAAUGUAUGUGCUAUUUACAAAUAAGUUCUAUACAGUAUUUUUGCAGUACCUUUGAUAAUUCCUAGACCUCUAUUUUCAUUCUGUGUAUUAAUGUGAAUAACAGAUGGAUAUUUUAAUAUUUAAGGCAGAUGGUAAACUUUCCUAUAGGUCUUGUGAGACUUCGUCUUAUAGGCUGAACACCAUUCACAAAAUGUAAUAAUGCUUCAUUCCUUCAGGUUGAGGUAAAGAACUUGAGCAACUGGAUUAGCAAAGCUGCAAAGAAUGAAAUGUGGCCUAAGAUGUAAUUAUGUUCUCUGCCCUUCCUUUGGGCCAGGGUAGUUUUGCACUUGACACAAUGGAAAAUAGGCCAUAAAGCCUGAAAAUAAAAUGUUCUAAACCCCAA
rnacentral:lncRNA from 1 species